UCGAGAGGCUUCGGCAAUGGGGGAAACCCUGACCGAGCGACGCCGCGUGGGGGAUGACGGCCCUUGGGUUGUAAACCCCUUUCGACCGGGAAGAAUGUUCGCGGGACUAAUAAGACCGCGAAUUGACGGUACCGGUAGAAGAAGCUCCGGCUAACUCCGUGCCAGCAGCCGCGGUAAUACGGGGGGAGCAAACGUUGUUCGGAAUCACUGGGCGUAAAGGGCGUGUAGGCGGUUCGGUAAGUGGAAUGUGAAAUCCCCCGGCUUACCCGGGGAACUGCAUCCCAUACUGCUGGACUUGAGUGCGGGAGAGGAUGGAGGAAUUCCUGGUGUAGCGGUGAAAUGCGUAGAUAUCAGGAGGAACACCUGUGGCGAAGGCGUCCAUCUGGCCCGUUACUGACGCUGAUGCGCGAAAGCUAGGGGAGCAAACG
rnacentral:rRNA from 1 species